GGUUAAGCGACUAAGCGUACACGGUGGAUGCCCUGGCAGUCAGAGGCGAUGAAGGACGUGCUAAUCUGCGAAAAGCGCCGGCGAGGUGAUAUGAACCUUUGACCCGGCGAUGUCCGAAUGGGGAAACCCAGUGCAAUCCGUUGCACUAUCGUUAACUGAAUACAUAGGUUAACGAGGCGAACCGGGGGAACUGAAACAUCUAAGUACCCCGAGGAAAAGAAAUCAACCGAGAUUCCCCCAGUAGCGGCGAGCGAACGGGGAGCAGCCCGGAGUCUGAAUCAGCUUGUGUGUUAGUGGAACGGUCUGGAAAGUCCGACGGUACAGGGUGAUAGUCCCGUACACGAAAGCACACUUGCUGUGAACUCGAAGAGUAGGGCGGGACACGUGGUAUCCUGUCUGAAUAUGGGGGGACCAUCCUCCAAGGCUAAAUACUCCUGACUGACCGAUAGUGAACCAGUACCGUGAGGGAAAGGCGAAAAGAACCCCGGCGAGGGGAGUGAAAAAGAACCUGAAACCGUGUACGUACAAGCAGUGGGAGCCUCUUUAUGGGGUGACUGCGUACCUUUUGUAUAAUGGGUCAGCGACUUAUAUUCUGUAGCAAGGUUAACCGUAUAGGGGAGCCGAAGGGAAACCGAGUCUUAACUGGGCGUUAAGUUGCAGGGUAUAGACCCGAAACCCGGUGAUCUAGCCAUGGGCAGGUUGAAGGUUGGGUAACACUAACUGGAGGACCGAACCGACUAAUGUUGAAAAAUUAGCGGAUGACCUGUGGCUGGGGGUGAAAGGCCAAUCAAACCGGGAGAUAGCUGGUUCUCCCCGAAAGCUAUUUAGGUAGCGCCUCGUGAAUUCAUCUUCGGGGGUAGAGCACUGUUUCGGCUAGGGGGCCAUCCCGGCUUACCAACCCGAUGCAAACUACGAAUACCGAAGAAUGUUAUCACGGGAGACACACGGCGGGUGCUAACGUCCGUCGUGAAGAGGGAAACAACCCAGACCGCCAGCUAAGGUCCCAAAGUCAUGGUUAAGUGGGAAACGAUGUGGGAAGGCACAGACAGCCAGGAUGUUGGCUUAGAAGCAGCCAUCAUUUAAAGAAAGCGUAAUAGCUCACUGGUCGAGUCGGCCUGCGCGGAAGAUGUAACGGGGCUAAACCAUGCACCGAAGCUGCGGCAGCGACGCUUAGGCGUUGUUGGGUAGGGGAGCGUUCUGUAAGCCGUUGAAGGUGUCCUGUGAGGGGUGCUGGAGGUAUCAGAAGUGCGAAUGCUGACAUAAGUAACGAUAAAGCGGGUGAAAAGCCCGCUCGCCGGAAGACCAAGGGUUCCUGUCCAACGUUAAUCGGGGCAGGGUGAGUCGACCCCUAAGGCGAGGCCGAAAGGCGUAGUCGAUGGGAAACAGGUUAAUAUUCCUGUACUUGGUGUUACUGCGAAGGGGGGACGGAGAAGGCUAUGUCAGCCGGGCGACGGUUGUCCCGGUUUAAGCAUGUAGGCGGAGGUUCCAGGUAAAUCCGGUACCUUAUUAACGCUGAGGUGUGAUGACGAGGCACUACGGUGCUGAAGUGAUAAAUGCCCUGCUUCCAGGAAAAGCCUCUAAGCAUCAGGUAACACGAAAUCGUACCCCAAACCGACACAGGUGGUCAGGUAGAGAAUACCAAGGCGCUUGAGAGAACUCGGGUGAAGGAACUAGGCAAAAUGGUGCCGUAACUUCGGGAGAAGGCACGCUGAUAUGUAGGUGAAGCCCCUGCGGGCGGAGCUGAAAUCAGUCGAAGAUACCAGCUGGCUGCAACUGUUUAUUAAAAACACAGCACUGUGCAAACACGAAAGUGGACGUAUACGGUGUGACGCCUGCCCGGUGCCGGAAGGUUAAUUGAUGGGGUUAGCGGCAACGCGAAGCUCUUGAUCGAAGCCCCGGUAAACGGCGGCCGUAACUAUAACGGUCCUAAGGUAGCGAAAUUCCUUGUCGGGUAAGUUCCGACCUGCACGAAUGGCGUAAUGAUGGCCAGGCUGUCUCCACCCGAGACUCAGUGAAAUUGAACUCGCUGUGAAGAUGCAGUGUACCCGCGGCAAGACGGAAAGACCCCGUGAACCUUUACUAUAGCUUGACACUGAACACUGGUCCUUGAUGUGUAGGAUAGGUGGGAGGCUUUGAAGCGUGGACGCCAGUCUGCGUGGAGCCAACCUUGAAAUACCACCCUUUAAUGGCUGGUGUUCUAACGUAGACCCGUAAUCCGGGUUGCGGACAGUGUCUGGUGGGUAGUUUGACUGGGGCGGUCUCCUCCCAAAGAGUAACGGAGGAGCACGAAGGUUGGCUAAUCCUGGUCGGACAUCAGGAGGUUAGUGCAAUGGCAUAAGCCAGCUUGACUGCGAGCGUGACGGCGCGAGCAGGUGCGAAAGCAGGUCAUAGUGAUCCGGUGGUUCUGAAUGGAAGGGCCAUCGCUCAACGGAUAAAAGGUACUCCGGGGAUAACAGGCUGAUACCGCCCAAGAGUUCAUAUCGACGGCGGUGUUUGGCACCUCGAUGUCGGCUCAUCACAUCCUGGGGCUGAAGUAGGUCCCAAGGGUAUGGCUGUUCGCCAUUUAAAGUGGUACGCGAGCUGGGUUUAGAACGUCGUGAGACAGUUCGGUCCCUAUCUGCCGUGGGCGCUGGAGAAUUGAGGGGGGCUGCUCCUAGUACGAGAGGACCGGAGUGGACGCAUCACUGGUGUUCGGGUUGUCAUGCCAAUGGCACUGCCCGGUAGCUAAAUGCGGAAGAGAUAAGUGCUGAAAGCAUCUAAGCACGAAACUUGCCCCGAGAUGAGUUCUCCCUGAGACUUUAAGUCUCCUGAAGGAACGUUGAAGACGACGACGUUGAUAGGUCGGGUGUGUAAGCGCAGCGAUGCGUUGAGCUAACCGAUACUAAUGAACCGUGAGGCUUAACCUU
rnacentral:rRNA from 1 species